GCGCGGGCAUGCUGAAUGGCCUAUUAACGGAAUGAAUACAUGCAGCCCAUACGUUAUUAAUUUUGACAUUUUUACGUAAACAUGUGUAAAUAGGUCUGGAUCACCGCCUGUUACAAGGAUCGUCAAUCAUUUGAGAUUCAACAAACGUGCCAAGGUCAAGCGUACGUUUCAAGCAAGAUAAAACGCUUUAAAGUGAGAUGUACUAAAUAUAGUCAUGCCCCCUCUUCUCCUCUCCUCUCUGGCGAAGAGGUCAAGUGACUAUUCUAAGACAAACUGGCAUUGGACGUGCAAGCUUCACAUGCCUCUCAUAAAGAACGUGCGCCAAAGUGAUUGUACACGUGACUGGUGUCUUAACACGUGCGAACGAAGAAAUCACGCAUGCGCACACGACAUCAAGCAUUAAAAAUUAAUGAAGAUUGAAAUAAAAAAUGGAAAUAAGGGGAGAAAAGGAGAGAUAAGGAAGAACAUUUUUCCUUAUUUCUAGACGCUUGCUAUCGUUCGAUCUUGAGAUACCAAAACAUGCUAUUUCAAAAAACCAUUACGACCAUCAAAGUUUGGCUCAUUAUCAUUACACCAGACUAUGUUUAUGGUUUUGAAAGGAGAGGUGAAUCGCGAUAAGUAAACACGACGUUAUCGCUAUUUUUGUGCAGAAAUCAGUCGAAUAAAAUAUCAGAAAUCGGCUGGGCUUUUAUUGGCUCUGCCCUAGACGACGUGGCGUUUGAGUAAAUAUUGCACUGUUUGUUUUGGUCGCGUACAUGGCUCGGCUCGCAUCGAUAUUUCUUACGCAUUACUGUAACAGAAAACCGACUUUAUCUACUAGGGAAUCAAUCACGCGAUGGGGAAAGCCAAGUAAUAUCCAAUUUAAAAACGUGGUUAUAUCGAUAUUUCUUCAGUUCGUCGCAGAUAUUUAAAGAAAAAAAGGAGAAAUGAUAACAGAAAAGUACAGUUAGUUUAGUCAUCAAAGUUUAUGAAAAACGAUAUAAAUCAAACUGCUGCACUUGGGACUUUUCUUUGCUCUUUUACUGGCGUUUCCAGCCUGGAAAUUUUAGACUUUUUUUUAAAUAAGAACAUUUAUAGCAGAUAUAGUUUAUGUCAACAUUCCGUUUCGCUAAAGUAAUCGAAAGCACUUCGCCCACGUUUC